GGUUGUAGCUCAGUGGUAGGGCGCUUGCCUGGCACAUGUGAAGCCCUGGGUUCCAUCCUCAGCACCA
rnacentral:tRNA from 1 species